ACUACGGGUGGCAGCAGUAGGGAAUCUUUCACAAUGGGCGAAAGCCUGAUGGAGCAACGCCGCGUGCAGGAUGAAGGCCUUCGGGUUGUAAACUGCUUUUAUAAGCGAGAAAGAUGAUGGUAACUUAUGAAUAAGGACCGGCUAACAACGUGCCAGCAGCCGCGGGCAUACGUAGGACCCGAGCAUUAUCCGGAGUGACUGGGGGUAAAGAGUUGCGUAGGUGGCAUAAUAAGUAGCUAGUGAAAUCUGGUGGCUCAACCAUUCAGACUAUUAGCGAAACUGUUAAGCUCGAGACCGUUAGGGGUAACUGGAAUUUCUAGUGUAGGCGUGAAAUCCGUAGAUAUUAGGAAGAACACCAAUGGCGUAGGCAGGUUACUGGAACGGUUCUGACACUAAGGCACGAAAGCGUAGGGAGCAAACAGGAUUAGAUACCCCAGUAGUC
rnacentral:rRNA from 1 species